CCCAUCCAGGAAGGCAGCAGGCGCGUAAAUACCCCCUUAUAACUCUAGAGGUAGUGACAGAAAUAAUUAAGAGGUGCCGUUUCGGUACUUUUUUGAGAAUGAGAAAGAUGUAAAUAUUCUAACGAUGAUCAAUUGGAGGGCAAGUCUGGUGCCAGCAGCCGCGGUAAUUCCAGCUCCAAUAACGUAUAUUAAAGUUGUUGCAGUUGAAAAGCUCGUAGUUGAAUUUGUUCUGAGAAGAGGCCGGGCGCUUGUUUCGGCAAGAUGAAUCCAUGUGCUUCUUUUGGGAAUCAUUUUUGAUCCUGUGAAGGUUCAAAAUCGUUUACUGUAAAAAAAUUAGAGUGUUUGAAGCAGAUCGUAAGAUUGGUAUAUAUUAGUAUGGAAUAAUAAGAUAGGACUUUGGUGCUAUUUUGUUGGUUUGCACACCAAGGUAAUGAUUAAUAGGGACAGUUGGGGGUAUUCGUAUUUAAUUGUCGGAGGUGAAAUUCUUGGAUUUAUGAAAGACGAACUACUGGCGAAAAGCAUUUACCAAGGAUGUUUUCAU
rnacentral:rRNA from 1 species